AGGGUUUGAUUAUGGCUCAGGAUGAACGCUAGCUACAGGCUUAACACAUGCAAGUCGAGGGGCAUCGGGUGAGGGCUUUUGCCAUCACGCCGGCGACCGGCGCACGGGUGAGUAACGCGUAUCCAACCUGCCCAUGGCUGGGGGAUAACCUUGCGAAAGCAAGCCUAAUACCCCAUGGCCUCAUCCCGGGGCAUCCCGGUUUGAGUAAAGGUUUUCCGGCCAUGGAUGGGGAUGCGUCCGAUUAGCUUGCCGGUGGGGUCACGGCCCACCGGGGCGACGAUCGGUAGGGGUUCUGAGAGGAAGGUCCCCCACACUGGAACUGAGACACGGUCCAG
rnacentral:rRNA from 1 species